AGAGGAUUAAUCUUAAUUUUGUUUCAUUUUUUCCCUUCUUCAUCUUUCAGGUUGCUCCAGGGAAACAAUGACUAUGGAAAGCUCUGGAUAGGGCGAUCAUCAUGAGGUUUAAGCUAGAAAAGUAGGGAACCCAGUAAGCUGGAGAAUUGAAGCUCUGGCAUUUGGAUGAGCUAAGUUGAUAAAGUGAGGAAGCAUCAGGUUCUAUGUUCUGCUCAACUGCCGGUUCAACUAGCUUUUUUGGUUAUGGUUCAGCAUCACCGUUUUAAGGUAAGUGGAUUGCACGGAAAGCAGUGAUGAGGCAAGAGAUCCAAGAAAGGAUAAACUCAGGAUAGGUACCAACGAACCUGGGACCAAAGGAAAUGUGGAUAACUGCUUUGGAUUAGUGAUACAUGCCAUUCUUCUGAGACUCAAUUUUCCUUAUGUUUAUUUUAUUUGCAAACCAAUAAAGCUAUGUGAAAUAUUGGUUUGUUUGAUUACAUUAAUUUUCUUUCAGUAUGAAUGUAACAUCCCGAAUUAGAGCCUAGUCAGAACAGUGGUUUCGAGACCACAAAUUCAAUGUAAUAAAAUUUAUUUUUAUUAUAUUUUUAUGAUCUACUAUUUCACGGGA